rnacentral:misc_RNA from 1 species
CCCCAUUUCCUUCGUUUUCUCAGCCUUGCACUGCCCUCGUCCCUCAUUUUCUCUUCCAUACUUCCACACUUCGCUUUCUCUGCCUCAUACCCAUUCUUCUUCUUCGUUUACUCCUUUUGCCUCUAUCCUCUUGGCCGCGUCUGUUCUCUAUCUCGUUAAGAAGCACCUAGAGCCCUUGACUGCCGUCUGCUGCUGCUGGGCGUCGUGAUGAGGAUUUAGAGGAAGUCAUGCACCACUCCGAUUUCUUGUGCUGAUAAAUCUCUCAUACCCGUAGUGCAAUAUUUCAGUCAAAUUCAGAAAUCCACACUAAGAUUUUCUGAAUUGGAGUUUUAGCUUUUUGUUGGUUAACAAAAUUCCAAAAUGCUGCACCUGCAUAUUGAGCCUGGAUACUUUCACCUGUAAUUAAGUCUGCUUCAUACCAGCAGCCUCAUUGAAUUGUAAGGAGAAAUGAAAUUCUGAGGCCGCAACUGCCCUUGCUGCUGCUUUACUUGUGUUUAAGGUUGUUGACUCCAAAUUUUCAAGCUUCUUGCUGCUGCUUUUUUUAUUUUCAGGCUAUCAGGUGAUUUCAGUUUCUAUUAUUACUUGAGCUUGAUAUAUUGCUCAAUUGAAAGUGCAUGGACUCUGUCCAGUUUCGGAUAUUAUCCAUGUUCAGUUUCAAAUUUAUUUUUGCAAUGUCAGUUCUUUGUUUUUCUUAAGAAAAUGGGCCAGGCCUAACUCACCCCCAAAAUGCCACCACCAUCUCUCCUUUUCUUCAGUUUUCCAAUUUCAUUAAGCAAACAUAUUUGCCAAUUUUCAGAUUGUAGAAAUAGUUUUCUAAAUUUAUAUUAUGUUUUCUAUAACUUUUCUGUGGAGUAGUAAUUUUCCUAAUAUAAAAGAAAAAUGAAAUUGGAAAAUGGAAAAAUUUUUUCCACAAGUAAAUAGCCCCUUGCUUUUUCUUGUGUCAGAAUUCUCCAGGAUAAUUAUACAAGUCUUUUUGCAUUUUCUACUCUGUUCUUCAGUUACUUUAUGGAAACUCAGCAGGGCAUUCAAUUUCACACUUGUCAGAAGGUGGGAAUCCUGUUGAUAUUAUUUGUUGGCAUUGGCUUUGGCUUUUGUAUGCAUGGUUCUUCACCUUCAAGUGAGGUGGCUAGGUGUGAGCCAAACUCCGAGUCCAACAACUUAAAUAUUAGUAGUUUUUGUAGUUUCAAGAAAUACAUUGUGAAAUCUUAUUUUGAAAAAUAUGAGAGCUUCGUCGAAUCAAAAUUUCAAGAUUUCUUAGUAGAUGAACUUCCCCACUCAUGUGAAUUGCUGCCAGAUAAUCUGAAUGCUUUUUUAAGACUAUCAGUUCCCAAUCGCCUUUUGACUGGUGAAGGUUCUCAUCGUCAUCUGUAUUCAAUGAUCAGACUUAACUUCCAGCCAGAAUCAAUAAAUCAGCUACCCACUCUCUUUUGUAAGGUUAUCGUUGUAGAGAGACUUCCCUCUGGAGUCUUUGCUGACCCAUUUGAACUCCAACACCUUCUGCAGAGGCGUGGUAAUAAAAUCCUUUUCUCAUUUACCUUUCAUAUUCUCAAAUUUGGUCUCAUUGCAUUAUUUUUCCUUACCAAGUUUAAUUUGUGUUAAAUCCUUAUUGCAGUUUUUACUGAUGUAGCUGUUUUCGGAGAUAAAAAUUUGGAAUUGCCUUCUGUUGCUUCCAAUCGGUCUGUUGUUGAGAUUCACAUGAAUGUCAAUCCCAAUAUCUUUUUUGGACAGACAAAUGAACUGGAAAUCAGCAUAGACCUCCCAUUGCAUGCACGGUAUCAACCCCUAGGUGAAAGUGGUUAUUCAAUGGUGGAAUUUGGCACACCAGAUUUAUUUGUACGGUGCUGCAUGGAAGGAAACUUAAACAAUCAAAGCUGCUUAUUUGCACCGAGCAGUGACAGUGUUGAAACCAAAACUAGUGCUGUUGUGUGGAGAAUUCCUUCUGGUACUAAGAUACAUACUGGUAUUGUGUCUGUCAUUACUUUUGUUGCAGCCUUCAUAUCAACUCUUGUUAUUGUCCUGACAUCCAUGUUUUAUUCUGAUAUUAAUUGUGCAAAAACAUUUAAAUUAUCAUAGUUUUGAUGUUUUUGUAGCUUGAUUUUUUUUUGAGUAAGAGAGGCUGAGCAUCUUCUUUGAGAUGAUUUGUAGACUUAUUAUGUGCACCUAACUUUUGUUCUCGCAAUUAUCCAGACUUGAAUGUAUAUUUCUAUGACAGGCAAAGGGAUAGAGAAACAUUAUUGAUGUUAGCUGCAUAGUUUAUGGGCAGUUGGGAGGGCAAGAGAUAAUUUUUGAGUUGUUUUCUCAUCAGAUGGUGAUGCUGUGUAUAUUAACAUAUGCAUUGAUUCUUGUUGAUUGAAUCGAGAUCUUGCCUUAAAAACUCAUGUACACAAUUAGCGUACGUGCACCUGAUUGUUUCUAUUCAGCUAAAAUUUCAAUAUAAAUUUGCCCAUUUG